rnacentral:lncRNA from 1 species
CGUACGAACCUGAAUUGUCUGAUUUCAAGGACCAAUCGAUAUCAGAUUGAGUCGAAAACUUGGGGAACAUCAUAAUAUUGUGGGAGGAGUCAUUUGGUGGGUUUUGAGUGAAAUCCAAUCUUUAGAACUAUACAAUACACCAACCACCCCAUUUCAGAACGAACUUCGUAGGAACCUGAAUUGUCCGAUUUCAAGGACCAAUCGAUAUCGGAUUGAGUCCAAAACUUGGGGAACAUCGUAAUAUUGUGGGAGGAAUCAUUUGGUGGGUUUUGAGUGAAAUCCAAUCUGUAGAACUAUACAAUACACCAACCACCCCAUUUCAGAAAGAACUUCGUACGAACGUGAAUUGUCCGAUUUCAAGGACCAAUCGAUAUCGGAUUGAGUCCAAAACUUAGGGAACAUCAUAAUGUUGUGGGAGGAGUCAUUUGGUGGGUUUUGAGUGAAAUCCAAUCUCUAGAACUGUACAAUACCCCAACCACU